GAUGAACGCUAGCGACAGGCCUAACACAUGCAAGUCGAGGGGCAGCGGGGAGCGAAGCUUGCUUUGCUCCGCCGGCGACCGGCGCACGGGUGAGUAACGCGUAUGCAACCUGCCCGUUUCAGCGGGAUAACCCGGAGAAAUCCGGCCUAAUACCGCAUGUGGCCGAGGGGAGGCAUCUUCUUUCGGCCAAAGGAGGCGACUCCGGAGACGGAUGGGCAUGCGUGACAUUAGCUUGUUGGCGGGGUAACGGCCCACCAAGGCGACGAUGUCUAGGGGUUCUGAGAGGAAGGUCCCCCACACUGGUACUGAGACACGGCCCAA
rnacentral:rRNA from 1 species